UAAAUGAAGAGUUUGAUCCUGGCUCAGAGCGAACGCUGGCGGCGUGCUUAACACAUGCAAGUCGAGCGCAGGCAUCUUGGGGGCAACUCCGAGGUGUGCUGAGCGGCGAACGGGUGAGUAAUACGUAAAUAACCUACCUUUAGGACUGGGAUAACCCCGGGAAACUGGGGUUAAUACCAGAUAAGACCACGAUUUCCACGGAAGCUGAGGUAAAAGAUGGCUAGGUAACUAGCUCUCGCCUAGAAAUGGGUUUACGUCCCAUCAGGUAGUUGGUGAGGUAAUGGCUCACCAAGCUUAAGACGGGUAGCUGACCUUAGCGGGUAGUCAGCCACACGGGAACUGAGACACGGUCCCGACUCCUACGGGAGGCAGCAGUGGGGAAUAUUGGGCAAUGGGCGAAAGCCUGACCCAGCGACGCCGCGUGGGGGAUGAAGGUCUUCGGAUUGUAAACCCCUGUCAGGAGGGACGAUGGGUCUAUGGGCUAAUAUCCCAUAGACUUGACGGUACCUUCAGAGGAAGCCCCGGCUAACUCCGUGCCAGCAGCCGCGGUAAUACGGGGGGGGCAAGCGUUGCUCGGACUUACUGGGCGUAAAGGGUCCGUAGGUUGCUUUGUAAGUUAGAUGUGAAAGCUCAGGGCUUAACCCUGAAAUUGCAUCUAAGACUGCGGAGCUAGAGUUCGGAAGAGGUUGGCGGAAUUCCCGGUGUAGCGGUGAAAUGCGUAGAUAUCGGGAGGAACACCUGUGGCGAAGGCGGCCUACUGGUCCGACACUGACACUGAGGGACGAAAGCGUGGGGAGCGAACCGGAUUAGAUACCCGGGUAGUCCACGCCUUAAACGAUGGAUGCUAGGUGUGGGGGUGUAAACCUUCGUGCCGCAGCUAACGCAUUAAGCAUCCCGCCUGGGGAGUACGGUCGCAAGACUGAAACUCAAAGGAAUUGACGGGGGCCCGCACAAGCGGUGGAGCAUGUGGUUCAAUUCGAUGCUAAGCGAAGAACCUUACCAGGGUUUGACAUGCUGGAUUAAGCCUACGUGAAAGCGUGGGGUGGUGUGGGGCUUGUCUCCACACAGUCAGCACAGGUGCUGCAUGGCUGUCGUCAGCUCGUGCCGUGAGGUGUCCGGUUAAGUCCGGUAACGAGCGCAACCCUUGUUCCUAGUUGCCAGCAUUUAAGGUGGGCACUCUAGGGAGACCGCCGGCGACAAGCCGGAGGAAGGCGGGGACGACGUCAAGUCAGCAUGGCCUUUAUGUCCUGGGCUACACACAUGCUACAAUGGCGGAUACAACGGGUUGCGAACUCGAGAGGGGGAGCUAAUCCUAUCAAAGUCCGUCUCAGUUCGGAUUGCAGGCUGCAACUCGCCUGCAUGAAGCUGGAAUCGCUAGUAAUCGCGGAUCAGCCACGCCGCGGUGAAUACGUUCCCGGGCCUUGCACACACCGCCCGUCACACCACGAAAGCUGGUUCUGCCCGAAGUGGCUGGGCUAACCCGAAAGGGACGCAGGCUCCGAAGGCAGGGCUAGUGAUUGGGGUGAAGUCGUAACAAGGUAGCCGUAGCGGAAGCUGCGGCUGGAUCACCUCCUUU
rfam:Bacterium CSP1-2 XT11_C0013, whole genome shotgun sequence.